AAGUGACGAAAAAUUUUUUUUAUUAGUCUGAGCCAUUGUCAACUUUCCUCUCCAAGACUCCUCUCACUCUGCCUCUGCAUCUCUCUCUCUCUCUCUCUCUCUCUCUUGCUUUCUCUGAUUCUCUCUACCCCUCUGCUUCUCAGAGCCCUAAUGUUACCUUUCCCUCUCUCAAGAGCACUCAAUCUCGGAUUUUUUACUCUCUGCGGAAUGAUCCAUCAAUCUCUUGCCAUUUCUUGUUCUUCAAUUCCAAUGCGUCUCUGAUUUUCUCUCCGCAUUUGAUUUGCUUCCUCUCUUACUAGGGUUUCCUCCCCCCCCCCCCCCCCCCCCCCCCC
rnacentral:misc_RNA from 1 species